rnacentral:rRNA from 1 species
CCCUACGGGGCGCUGACCCGGCAAAACGUGAAGCCGCGCUCGCCAAAUUGCAGCUUGUCCGGCAGGCAUAUGAAUACGGGAUCGCGAAUUACACCAGUAAUGCCCGCCUUCAUAAUUAUUAUGGCGAAUUGCUCUAUGAUUGGUUCGAUGAGCAAAUCCUCGCGCUGAUGGAAUGGAAUACCGCUAUCAGCUUCGAUUCGAAGUACGGCAAUCCGCACAAUAAUCUCGGGCUUCAUUUUGUACACACCGGCGAUUACCGGCUGGGAUUCCAUCACCUGGAAGAAGCGCUCCGUUUGGAACCCGAAAAUCCUGAUUUGCUGUACAACACCGCGCAAAUCUAUUUAGGGCAUUGGCCGCAGGUGCAGGAAAUCAAGGGAUGGAAACCUAAAAAGAUCUACCGGUAUGCCAUGAAAUGUUCCCGGAAAGCCACUGGGUUAAGUCCGGAUGACUAUGAAUUGGCGGGAGGGC